rnacentral:rRNA from 1 species
UACGGAGGGGGCUAGCGUUAUUCGGAAUUAUUGGGCGUAAAGGGCGUGUAGGCGGCUUCGUGUGUCCCAUGUGAAAGCCCUCGGCUCAACCGGGGAACUGCAUGGGAAACUGCGGAGCUUGAGUCCGGGAGAGGAGAGCGGAAUUCCCAGUGUAGCGGUGAAAUGCGUAGAUAUUGGGAGGAACACCGGUGGCGAAGGCGGCAUCCUGGACCGACACUGACGCUGAGGCGCGAAAGCUAGGGUAGCAAACGGG